GAUGCCUGAUUUUGGAACCGAGUGUGAUCGUCUGGGCGGUGUGUUCACUCUGCAGGGAUGAUGGCCAGAGGAAGGAUGAUAGACAGGUAUCUUGCAGAAGAUGGGAG